GGGGACAGAAUGGCUGGCUUACCUCCACCUGAGCCUCCUCCCUGCCUGGCCGCUGUUGUCUCCAGGUUUGCUUGAUGUGGAGGAGCAGCCUCAUGUAUUACAGACAAAAUCAAGGCCCAUACGGGAAGCUGUUUCUAAGCCGCAUGCUCUUGGGGAGCUUGGUUCCACAUACAAGAAAACAUAUGCCCACAAUACCUCUCCUGAUGACCUCUGUCCACAUCCCAGCUCUAUUUGUGUUGGAUGAAAAGGUGCUGUUGACCCCAGCCUUCCAAGUCAGCAUCAAGUUGUGGUGAGAUGAUGGCGACCCCUGGAGGCCAAUGGUGAAACUGUCGACCUGAAGUUCCUGGCCAUGCCCCUAAAGGGCUUGGUGAGUGAAACUCCUUCUCAAAUAAAGUCAGAGACCCAGUGGUUAAUUGGGUACCCAUCCCGGGUGAGGAGGAGGUCUCUGCUGUGGGAGCCAGGAACAGGUGUGAAGAAAGACAGAGGACCACUGUGAGCCGCCCGGUAGCUCAUAGUCCUGAGGUCUGUCUGGACAGAAGAGCUCCACCCUUGGUCUUAUUGAAGCAGCUGACCUAAAGUACCUGCUUCAGCAUUCUAAAUUGCUUCCAGGAAACCUGAUGAGCACUAUCCAGUAUGUCUCCCUCCCACCUGUGACUUUUCAAGUGGCUUUUGGAGGUGAUCGGUGGCACUUAAGAUGAGUCUUAAGGUAUCCUAAUACCCCACCACCACCACACAUGCAUGAAGUGGCCAGCAGAGCACAGACAGAAGAGGGCAUAUGAAAGGCAUGUGUGAAAACAAGAUGUGUGCUGUGGACUUGGCAGGACACUGGCUGUGCCAGGGCUGCUUCCUUGAAAGACACCAUGAAAGCUCACGUUGCACACACAGUCACACAUGGGAAUGAUCCAGGGAGCAUGGAAUAGGAUGAGUUGCCUAGCUCAUUGAGAGGCAUCCAGGUGAAGAAGGAAGAGAUUAGUGGCCUUGACAUCUAGUGAGCGGCCUGUCACUCAUGGCUGGUCGGGUGAUUGAUUUUCUCCUUGGACGCAGAUAUAAUCACAGAGCAUGGUGACUGGACAAAGCAAGAUCAUUCUGUAGUCUUUACCCACUAAGCCAUCCU